AUGAACGCUAGCGACAGGCUUAACACAUGCAAGUCGAGGGGCAGCACUGGUAGCAAUACCGGGUGGCGACCGGCGCACGGGUGAGUAACGCGUAUGCAACUUACCUAUCAGAGGGGGAUAACCCGGCGAAAGUCGGACUAAUACCGCAUGAAGCAGGGGCCCCGCAUGGGGAUAUUUGCUAAAGAUUCAUCGCUGAUAGAUAGGCAUGCGUUCCAUUAGGCAGUUGGCGGGGUAACGGCCCACCAAACCGACGAUGGAUAGGGGUUCUGAGAGGAAGGUCCCCCACAUUGGUACUGAGACACGGACCAAACUCCUACGGGAGGCAGCAGUGAGGAAUAUUGGUCAAUGGGCGUAAGCCUGAACCAGCCAAGUCGCGUGAGGGAUGAAGGUUCUAUGGAUCGUAAACCUCUUUUAUAAGGGAAUAAAGUGCGGGACGUGUCCCGUUUUGUAUGUACCUUAUGAAUAAGGAUCGGCUAACUCCGUGCCAGCAGCCGCGGUAAUACGGAGGAUCCGAGCGUUAUCCGGAUUUAUUGGGUUUAAAGGGUGCGUAGGCGGCCUUUUAAGUCAGCGGUGAAAGUCUGUGGCUCAACCAUAGAAUUGCCGUUGAAACUGGGGGGCUUGAGUAUGUUUGAGGCAGGCGGAAUGCGUGGUGUAGCGGUGAAAUGCUUAGAUAUCACGCAGAACCCCGAUUGCGAAGGCAGCCUGCCAAGCCAUGACUGACGCUGAUGCACGAAAGCGUGGGGAUCAAACAGGAUUAGAUACCCUGGUAGUCCACGCAGUAAACGAUGAUCACUAGCUGUUUGCGAUACAGUGUAAGCGGCACAGCGAAAGCGUUAAGUUUUCCACCUGGGGAGUACGCCGGCAACGGUGAAACUCAAAGGAAUUGACGGGGGCCCGCACAAGCGGAGGAACAUGUGGUUUAAUUCGAUGAUACGCGAGGAACCUUACCCGGGUUUGAACGCAUUCGGACCGAGGUGGAAACACCUUUUCUAGCAAUAGCCGUUUGCGAGGUGCUGCAUGGUUGUCGUCAGCUCGUGCCGUGAGGUGUCGGCUUAAGUGCCAUAACGAGCGCAACCCUUGCCACUAGUUACUAACAGGUGAUGCUGAGGACUCUGGUGGGACUGCCAGCGUAAGCUGCGAGGAAGGCGGGGAUGACGUCAAAUCAGCACGGCCCUUACAUCCGGGGCGACACACGUGUUACAAUGGCGUGGACAAAGGGAAGCCACCUGGCGACAGGGAGCGAAUCCCCAAACCACGUCUCAGUUCGGAUCGGAGUCUGCAACCCGACUCCGUGAAGCUGGAUUCGCUAGUAAUCGCGCAUCAGCCAUGGCGCGGUGAAUACGUUCCCGGGCCUUGUACACACCGCCCGUCAAGCCAUGGGAGCCGGGGGUACCUGAAGUCCGUAACCGAAAGGAUCGGCCUAGGGUAAAACUGGUGACUGGGGCU
rnacentral:rRNA from 1 species